GCCAACCCCGGCGGCGGCGGCGGCGGCGGCCGUGGGCGCUCACGCGGUCCCCCGACCACACGGCUCGGGCUGCCGCGUCGUCCUUACCCCGAGCAGAGCCGGGCAGCCCGCAACGCCGACUCGGCGACAGGCCGGCGGGGCGCGAGCCGGAGCGGCGAAGCUCGGCCGGCCCAGGCUGCGGCGCCGCUGGCCCCGCGGUGCCCGGCGGGAGGGGCGCGAGGGUGCACGCGCGGGGUGGGGGCGCGGGAGCCUCCCCUGCCGGCCCCGCGCGCAUGCUCCCGCCGCACCUGCCUCGCUCCGGGUUCCGCUCCCCGGGGAGCGGAGUGGACGCGGGGCGGCCGCUCGGGCUUUCACGUGGGAGGGAGGCGGCUGCGGCUGUAUCUUCGAGUGCGUCUUUCCCCUUAUAUGCUCCCCGGCAAGGAGUCCCCCAAAUCUUGGCUACUUCCUUCCUGACCCCUACCCACUCGUGCAGUGGUGUCCCGGGGCGCUCAUCCCUGCUUCAUCCCAGCUCUUCGGAUUCACCUUCCAAAUGUUCUCAGGCCUCUGGAUUCCUCUCUGUUCUGCUGCUCCUUCGGAUUUUGCAACCUCCUCUCAGAUGCCCCUUUCCCGCUCUCGACUUCCCUACACACCCGUCUGCGGAUACCAUUUCAAAAUAAAAGAAUACUCUUUUUGAGCGGCUAGAACAAAUGAUUACUGACCCUGUUCUAGCUGCUUGAGAUUGAGUAGGAAACAGGAGCAAAGGCGUUCCUGCCCUCAGGAAACUUACAGUCUUGCAGGCACACUUCGGGAUGCUGUCUUGCCACACUUGCUCACCUGACUGCAUGAAAUUAGAGUAGGACCCAGUGGUUGGAUGAGAAGUUCCCCUCCCAGCAACUUAGGCUGGUGAUUUACUGGAAGAUCCUCUCUAGUGAUAAUGCUGGACAGCAGCUACAGCUCCCAGACAGCUGUGCCAUCACAAAAGUAAACAACCCAUACACUGACAACCAUUCUGUUCCCAUACAGCCAUUGUUUUUGUUUUUAGUACAGUAUUCAAUAAAUUACAUGAGAUAUUCGAUACUUGAUUAUAAAGGAGGCUUUGUGUUAGAUGAUUCUGCUCAACGGUAGACCAAUGUAAGUGUUCUGAGCACAUGUAAGGUAGGCUAGGCUGAGCUGUGAUGUGUGGUAGGCGAGGUGUAUUAAAUUCAUUUUUAACUUACAAUAUUUUCAACUUAGGAUGGGACUUGAUAAACCCCUUUACCGAUACCCCCUUACAAUGUAACUUUGUGUUUGUUUCCAUCAUAAGGUGGGGACAAUUUCCCACUGCUGGAACCAGGGAUGCCCUGUGACUUACUUUGCUCAGUAGAAUAUGAUGAAGUGACAAUAUGCCAGUCCCAAGCUUAGACCUCAAAGGCUCUGUGUGCUCUUGUUUCCGUCUUGCUUCUAUGUGAUCACCCUGAGAAUUAAGCGCUCCUGCUGGAGAACGGGACAGAGCCCAAAUGUUCCAUUCAAAGCCCUAGAUCCGUGGAAGAGCAUGUAAUGCCCAGCCAACCCAUCACCUGACCAUAGAAGCCUGAAGAAGUGAUUCCAGCAAGGCCAGCUGAGCCAGGAUCAGCAGAACCGUGCAUCGAACCUAUACACUCAUGAGAAAUGAGAAAUGAGUCUCCAAGUGUUGGACUGUUCCUUUAUGCAACAAUAGCCAUGUGAUACAAAAGGUUUAUUUAUUACAGCAUUAAUGCAAUUUUUUUCUCGUGGAGUAAAUUCAGUACCUACCUAAGUGUUCUGUUCCCCUAAAACUUGGAAGUUGUAUAAGUCAGCCUUGCUGAUUACAGGGACGAAGUCAGAGGGUGCAAAUGCAGCUGUUUAUGGUUUGCAUGAAUGUGGGUCAGUGUAUAGAAUUCUUACUCUCCAUUAAAGUUCUUCCUAGUGCAGCCAUUCUGGCCUCCUUAUUAA